GAUGAACGCUGGCGGCGUGCUUAACACAUGCAAGUCGAACGGAAAGGCCCAAGCUUGCUUGGGUACUCGAGUGGCGAACGGGUGAGUAACACGUGGGUGAUCUGCCCUGCACUUCGGGAUAAGCCUGGGAAACUGGGUCUAAUACCGGAUAGGACCACAUUCUGGAUGGUGCGGUGGAAAGUUUUUCGGUGUGGGAUGAGCUCGCGGCCUAUCAGCUUGUUGGUGGGGUAGUGGCCUACCAAGGCGUCGACGGGUAGCCGGCCUGAGAGGGUGUACGGCCACAUUGGGACUGAGAUACGGCCCAGACUCCUACGGGAGGCAGCAGUGGGGAAUAUUGCACAAUGGGCGGAAGCCUGAUGCAGCGACGCCGCGUGGGGGAUGACGGCCUUCGGGUUGUAAACUCCUUUCGCUAGGGACGAAGCGCAAGUGACGGUACCUGGAGAAGAAGCACCGGCUAACUACGUG
rnacentral:rRNA from 1 species